rnacentral:rRNA from 1 species
UAGGGAAUUUUGGACAAUGGGCGAAAGCCUGAUCCAGCAACGCCGCGUGCGCGAUGAAGGCCUUCGGGUUGUAAAGCGCUUUUAGAGGAGAUGAGAAAGGACAGUAUCCUCUGAAUAAGCCUCGGCGAACUACGUGCCAGCAGCCGCGGUAAAACGUAGGAGGCUAGCGUUAUCCGGAUUUAUUGGGCGUAAAGCGUGUGCAGGCGGUUAUGCAAGUUGGAUGUGAAAGCUCCUGGCUUAACUGUGAGAGGUCGUUCAAAACUGCAUGACUAGAGAAUGGGAGAGGGAGGUGGAAUUCCGGGUGUAGUGGUGAAAUGCGUAGAUAUCCGGAGGAACACCAGUGGCGAAAGCGGCCUCCUGGACCAUUUCUGACGCUCAGACACGAAAGCUAGGG